rnacentral:tRNA from 2 species
GCCCCCAUCGUCUAGAGGCCUAGGACAGCAGCCUUUCAAGCUGCCGACAGGGAUUCGAAUUCCCUUGGGGGCGCCA